UUAACUUGGAGCAACAGGACAGAGGCCCUAAACAGUAUGCUGAUGUUUUAAAUUACAGGACACUACAGUAUUUUUUGGAAACUGAGUGGUGUUGCUGGGGAAUCUGGAAUAGGCCUACGGUCAGAAGUUUGAUACAUUAGUCUUUUACUGCUUGGUCAAUUUUCUUUAAAAAAAUAAAAUACAGAAAUUAUUUGCCAUCAACUCCUGGAGGGACUUCAUGAACCAUAAUUUGGAUAGGAGAUUUUCCAGAAGAGGAGUCACAAUUUGGAUGACAUGUGCUACACAUCAUCGAAUGUUCUUCAUCUACAUACAUCGGGUCUGACAUCUACAAAUUAACUGAGGAUACAAAGUAACUAUAGGAUUAUUGGAACAUCGGCUAACCGAGAUGGUUUUUAUGUCUGCCACUGCAGCUGACGUUGAGACAACUCUCCUGCAAGUCCUCGCCUGAUACUGCCUGUUUCAGGUGCAACAGGGCAAGUCACAAUUAGAGGUUGGAUGAUCACCUUUGAGGGCCGUGUAAUCUCUGAGGGCAUCCCACCAACAUUUGCAUCGGGACUUACUGCUGUGUUUGCAAUCUACUACAUAUUCAACCUUCAGUAUCAAGAUGAGGCAGUCUGCACUCUGGAAUUCAUUUAGAGGCGCUUCAUUGGUAUAAAUCCAGAGAGCGGGACAAAGG